GUCUUUUUGGAUUAUAAUAUAAAGUUUGAUCUGCUCAAUGAUUGUUUAAAUUGCCGCGGUAUUUUAACUGUGCAAAGGUAGCAUAAUAAUUAGUUUUUUUAUUGGGAACUGGAAUGAAUGAUUUGACAAGAAACAUACUGUCUCUUAAUAAUUUUUAUUUAAUUUAACUUUUUAGUUAAAGGCUGAAAUUUAUCUUAAAGACGAGAAGACCCUAUAGAGUUUGAUUCUAUUUUAUAUUUUUUAUUUAGUAUUUAUUUUUAAUUUUAAAAUAAAAUUUUAUUGGGGUGAUUUAAAGAUUUAAUUAACUCUUUUUUAUUUAUCAUUUAUUUUUGAAUAUUUAAUCUUUAUUUUUGAAUUUAAAAUUAAAUUACCUUAGGGAUAACAGCGUUAUUUUUCUUUAAAGUUCUUAUUAAAAGAAAAGAUUGCGACCUCGAUGUUGGAUUAAAAUUUAAUUUUGGUGAAGUAGCUUUAGUUUUUAGUCUGUUCGACUAUUAAAAUUUU
rnacentral:rRNA from 1 species